rnacentral:misc_RNA from 1 species
UGGUUCUGGCAUCGAUGAAGAACGCAGCGAAAUGCGAUAAGUAAUGCGAAUUGCAGAAUUCAGUGAAUCAUCGAAUCUUUGAACGCACAUUGCACCCUCUGGUAUUCCGGAGGGUAUGCCUGUUCGAGCGUCAUUACAACCCUCAAGCACAGCUUGGUAUUGGGUAGCACCUGAGGUGGUGUACCUUAAAAUCAGUGGCGGUGCCAAUUGGCUUCAAGCGUAGUAGCACAUCUCGCUCUGGAGCUCAUUGUGCUCUUGCUAUAGCACCUUGACUAUCUAUGGUUGACCUCGGAUCAGGUAGGGAUACCCGCUGA